rnacentral:misc_RNA from 1 species
UACGGAGGGUGCGAGCGUUACCCGGAAUCACUGGGCGUAAAGGGCGUGUAGGCGGGAAGUCAAGUCUGGUUUUAAAGACCGGAGCUCAACUCCGGGGAUGGACUGGAUACUGGUUUUCUGGACGACUGGAGAGGCAACUGGAAUUCCUGGUGUAGCGGUGGAAUGCGUAGAUACCAGGAGGAACACCGAUGGCGAAGGCAGGUUGCUGGACAGAUUCGUGACGCUGAGGCGCGAAAGUGUGGGGAGCGAACCGG